UACAGGGGGUGCAAACGUUGUUCGGAAUCAUUGGGCGUAAAGCGCACGUAGGCGGUCUGUUAUGUCGGAUGUGAAAGCCCUCGGCUCAACUGAGGAAGUGCAUCCGAAACUGGCAAGCUAGAGUAUGUAAGAGGGUCGCGGAAUUCCCGGUGUAGAGGUGAAAUUCGUAGAUAUCGGGAGGAACACCGGUGGCGAAGGCGGCGACCUGGGACAAUACUGACGCUGAGGUGCGAAAGCGUGGGGAGCAAACAGG
rnacentral:rRNA from 1 species